AAAUCAGUCUUGAAUAGUCAUUGGAAGGACCAGCUGAAGCUCCAAUACUUUGGCCACUUGAUGCAAAGAACUGACUCAUUUGAAAAGACCCCGAUGCUGGGAAAGAUUGAAGGCAGGAGGAGAAGGGGAUGACAGAGGAUGAGAUGGUUGGAUUGUAUCACUGACUCGAUUUGAUGGAGAGGGAAUCCUGGCGUUCUGCAGUCCAUGGGGUUGAAAAGAGUGGGACACGACUGAGCAACUGAACUGAACUGAACUGAAAGCUACCAGAGUGUGAAAUCAUUUGAUGAAAAUUGGAAGUGUUCAGCUCCAAACUUUCAAUCUCAUUCACUAAUUUUUAAGUCACCAAAAAUGGAUAAAAUACUGCCUGUCGGAAUAUUUUUAUUCCAGGUAAAUGUGUCACUCCAUUUAGUGAGUCUUCAACUACUCAAACAAUUUGCCUCGAAUGCUCUAUUUGAAAUAAAUUUGGGUGGAAAACAACCAAAUCAGUGGUGAAUAAGGCACUUUACGGUUUUCUAUUUGGAUGUCAAAUUCCAGGUAACUAACAUCUACCAAUGUUACAUUUCAAAUUAAAGAGUUAACAAAUUUUCAAAUUUCAAGAUAGAGUAAUAAGCACCCUGGGAUAUCUAAUUUGUAAGUUUAGCGAGAGAAAUUGAGCAGUUCUUUGCAUAAUGAAGGCAGGAACAGUUCAAACAGAUGCAAAGACCAGAAAAUAAUAUUCAAAACCAAGCGAUCCACUUGGAAGAGAAGAUGAAUUUGCUCUGCCUCUCCCGCAUCAUCUCAAGACUUUAGAAAAUAAAAUUAGGGAAAAAUUUCAGUAAUCAACAGACCCUAAACCCAAACUAAAAAUCGAACCUGAGACUUUAAAAGGCGAGCAGAGCAACGGGCGGUAAAAGAAAACAGCCGGAGGACGAACCGGGGCAGGGCGGGCAGGAAGCCCACCUCAGGGAGAGUGAUAGGUUUUCGAAAGGACGCUUCGAAGCUCCAUUUCCCUGCAGUUUCCACCCGCGCUCCGAGGCUGCAACCGCGGUGGGGACAGAAAGCCGGGGAAGCAGACGGCAGAGGCGGAGACCAGACAGGAGCGCGGAGCCGGAGGGAGAGCGUGGCCCAGAGGCCGCUGCUGUUGUCCGGAGAGCUAAAAAGCCAGAGACAACCCGGGCGGCGGCGGCCACUUGCUUCUCCCGGAGCGCCCGCAGGGGUUCCGGGUGCGCACCUGCUAAGCCCGUCCUGGGCCGGGGCCUGGAGAUGCCCGCCGCUCGGCCGGCCAUGCCCGCGCACCGUCCGGGCCCCGGCCGGGGAGGAUGCCAGACGUCGGGGAGAGACCAGGACAGCGGUGGCGGCGCGAUGGUGGUGACCAGCUCUGCCCGAGGCGGCGGCGGGGACCGCGCCCUCUCCCGGGGGCGGGACUUCGGACUAGCGCCGGCCGGAAUCCACAAUCAGAGGGGUUCUCUCCAAGUCUUCUGUUAGUGAACGGUUUUCCAUUCUAGCCUUCUCUACGGAGUGUUCACGUUAAUUUCAAGUAAAACAAACAAACAAAAAAAAUUUUAAAAAUUUGAAAAGGAGGGGUGUGGCCAUGA
ensembl:lncRNA